rnacentral:rRNA from 1 species
AAUCAACGCUGGCGGCGUGCCUCAGACAUGCAAGUCGAACGAUUAAAGCUCUCUUCGGAGAGUGUAUAGAGUGGCGCACGGGUGAGUAACACGUAAGUAAUCUACCUUUGAGUGGGGAAUAACCCGGGGAACCCGAGCUAAUACCGCAUAAUGCAGCGGCACCGCAAGGUGACAGUUGUUAAAGGAGCAAUCCGCUUAAAGAGGAGCUUGCGGCAGAUUAGCUAGNGGUAAGGUAAUGGCUUACCAAGGCUUCGAUCUGUAUCCGGCCUGAGAGGGCGGUCGGACACACUGACACUGAAUAACGGGUCAGACUCCUACGGGAGGCAGCAGUCGGGAAUUUUGGGCAAUGGGCGAAAGCCUGACCCAGCAACGCCGCGUGAAGGAUGAAGUAUUUCGGU